rnacentral:rRNA from 1 species
GACGAACGCUGGCGCGCGUGCUUACGCAUGCCAGUCAAACGGAAAGGCCCCUGCUUUUGUGGGGUGCAUCGAGUGGACGAACGGUCUGAGUAACACGUCGAGUAACCUGCGCCUUGACUUUGGGAUAACUUCACGAAACUGGGGCUAAUACCGGAUAGGACCUCCUGCUGCAUGGUGGCGGGUUGGAAAGUUUCGGCGGAUGGGGAUCGGACUCUCGGCUUAUCAUCUUGUUGGUGGGGUAGUGGCUUACCCAGGCUUUGACAGGUAGCCGGCCUGAAAGGGUGACCGGCCACAUUGGGACUGAGAUACCGUCCAGACUCCUACGGUAAGCACCACCGUGGAAUAUUGGACACUGUGCGGAAGCCUGAUGCAACCUCUCCCCGUGCAGGAUGACGACCAUCGGGUUGUAAACCGCUGUCCCCUGUGACGAAUCGAGAGUGACCGCAAGGUCCAAAGAAUGAGCGGCUAACUACCUGCCACCAUCCGCGGCGAUACUGAGGGCGCAAUCGCUGUCCGGAUUGAUUGAUCGUAUAGGUCUCGUACGUGGGUGAUCACAUCGCAUAAGUAAUCUUGCUGCUCAACCCUGAGCGGCUCUUCGAUACGGGUCGCUCGAGGAAGGUAGCGGAGAAUGGAAUUCCUGUUGACGCGGUGGAAUGCGCAGAUAUCAGGAGGAUCUCCAGUGGCGACGGCGAUUCUCUGGGCCUUUCUUGACGCUGAGGAGCGACAGCGUGGAGAGCGAACAGGCUUAGAUACCCUGGUAGUUCACCCCUGAAACGGAGGGUACUAGGUGUGGGGUCCAUUCCCCCCCUUACUGCUGCAGCUAACACAUUAAGUACUCCCCCUGGGGAGUACGGCCGCAAGGCUAAAACUCAAAGGAAUGGACGGGGACCCCCACAAGCGGCGGAGCAUGCGGAUUAUUUUGAUGCAACGCGAAGAACCUCACCCCAUCGUGACACACGGAUCGCGAGUGCUCAGAGAAAGAGUUUUCCCCUUUUCGGGUCGGUUCACAGGUGGUGCAUGGGUGUCGUCAGCUUGUGUCGUGAGAUGUUGGGUUAAAUCCCCCAACCAGCGCAACCCUUAAGCUUAUGUCGUCCAGCACGUUAUGGUGGGGAUUCAGUGGAGACCGCCGGGGUCAACUCGGAGGAAGGUGGGGAUGACGUCAAGUCAUCAUGCCCCUUAUGUCCAGGGCGUCACGCAUGAUACAACGGUAUGGUACAGAGAGUGGCGAGCCUGUGAGGGUGAGCGAAUCUCGGAAAUCCGGUCUCAGUUCGGAUUGGGGUCUGCAACUUGACCUCAGCAAGUUGGAGUCGUUAGUAAUCGCAGAUCAGCAACGGUGCGGUGAAUACGUUCCCGGGCCU